AAAGGCCCUUUCGGGGGUACUCGAGUGGCGAACGGGUGAGUAACACGUGGGUGAUCUGCCCUGCACUUUGGGAUAAGCCUGGGAAACUGGGUCUAAUACCGGAUAUACCUCGCUGGUCGCAUGGCCUGGUGGGGGAAAGCUUUUGCGGUGUGGGAUGGGCCCGCGGCCUAUCAGCUUGUUGGUGAGGUUAUGGCUUACCAAGGCGACGACGGGUAGCCGGCCUGAGAGGGUGACCGGCCACACUGGGACUGAGAUACGGCCCAGACUCCUACGGGAGGCAGCAGUGGGGAAUAUUGCACAAUGGGCGCAAGCCUGAUGCAGCGACGCCGCGUGGGGGAUGACGGCCUUCGGGUUGUAAACCUCUUUCAGUGCCGACGAAGCGUAAGUGACGGUAUGCGCAGAAGAAGGACCGGCCAACUACGUGCCAGCAGCCGCGGUAAUACGUAGGGUCCGAGCGUUGUCCGGAAUUACUGGGCGUAAAGAGCUCGUAGGUGGUUUGUCGCGUUGUCCGUGAAAACUCACAGCUUAACUGUGGGCGUGCGGGCGAUACGGGCAGACUUGAGUACUGCAGGGGAGACUGGAAUUCCUGGUGUAGCGGUGGAAUGCGCAGAUAUCAGGAGGAACACCGGUGGCGAAGGCGGGUCUCUGGGCAGUAACUGACGCUGAGGAGCGAAAGCGUGGGGAGCGAACAGGAUUAGAUACCCUGGUAGUCCACGCCGUAAACGGUGGGUACUAGGUGUGGGUUUCCUUCCUUGGGAUCCGUGCCGUAGCUAACGCAUUAAGUACCCCGCCUGGGGAGUACGGCCGCAAGGCUAAAACUCAAAGAAAUUGACGGGGGCCCGCACAAGCGGCGGAGCAUGUGGAUUAAUUCGAUGCAACGCGAAGAACCUUACCUGGGUUUGACAUGCACAGGACGCUGGCAGAGAUGUCGGUUCCCUUGUGGCCUGUGUGCAGGUGGUGCAUGGCUGUCGUCAGCUCGUGUCGUGAGAUGUUGGGUUAAGUCCCGCAACGAGCGCACCCUUGUCCUCAUGUUGCCAGCGCGUUAUGGCGGGG
rnacentral:rRNA from 1 species